UUUCCGUAGGUGAACCUGCGGAAGGAUCAUUCAUAAUAAGUGUUUUAUGGCACUUUUUUAAAUCCAUAUCCACCUUGUGUGCAAUGUCAGGGUUGAUUUUUCUCUCGAGAGGAUCAGCCCCAAACAUCAACUAUAUCUCAACUCUUUGUCUGAAAAAUAUUAUGAAUAAAACAAUUCAAAAUACAACUUUCAACAACGGAUCUCUUGGCUCU
rnacentral:misc_RNA from 1 species